rnacentral:rRNA from 1 species
GGAAUAUUGCACAAUGGGGGAAACCCUGAUGCAGCGACGCCGCGUGAGUGAAGAAGUAUUUCGGUAUGUAAAGCUCUAUCAGCAGGAAAGAAAAUGACGGUACCUGACUAAGAAGCUCCGGCUAAAUACGUGCCAGCAGCCGCGGUAAUACGUAUGGAGCAAGCGUUAUCCGGAUUUACUGGGUGUAAAGGGAGAGUAGGUGGCAGAGCAAGUCCGAAGUGAAAACCCAAAGCUCAACUAUGGGAAUGCUUUAGAAACUGCUCAGCUAGAGUGCAGGAGAGGCAAGUGGAAUUCUUAGUGUAGCGGUGAAAUGCGUAGAUAUUAGGAGGAACACCAGUGGCGAAGGCGGCUUGCUGGACUGUAACUGACACUGAGGCUCGAAAGCGUGGGGAGCAAACA